rnacentral:rRNA from 2 species
AAAUUGAAGAGUUUGAUCAUGGCUCAGAUUGAACGCUGGCGGCAGGCCUAACACAUGCAAGUCGAACGGUAGCACAGAGAGCUUGCUCUCGGGUGACGAGUGGCGGACGGGUGAGUAAUGUCUGGGAAACUGCCUGAUGGAGGGGGAUAACUACUGGAAACGGUGGCUAAUACCGCAUAACGUCGCAAGACCAAAGAGGGGGACCUUCGGGCCUCUUGCCAUCAGAUGUG